GCCUACGGGGGGCAGCAGUGGGGAAUAUUGCGCAAUGGGCGAAAGCCUGACGCAGCGACGCCGCGUGAGGGAUGGAGGUCUUCGGAUCGUAAACCUCUGUCAGCAGGGAAGAACGGUCACUGUGCUAAUCAGCAGUGAAUUGACGGUACCUGCAAAGGAAGCACCGGCUAACUCCGUGCCAGCAGCCGCGGUAAUACGGAGGGUGCGAGCGUUAAUCGGAAUUACUGGGCGUAAAGCGCUCGUAGGCGGUAUGUCAAGUCAAGGGUGCAAUCCCCGCGCUCAACGUGGGACCUGCCUUUGAAACU
rnacentral:rRNA from 1 species